AUUGAACGCUGGCGGCAUGCCUAACACAUGCAAAGUCGAACGGUAGCAGGCCUUCGGGCGCUGACGAGUGGCGGACGGGUGAGUAAUACAUAGGAAUCUGCCUUUUAGUGGGGGAUAACCCGGAGAAAUCCGGGCUAAUACCGCAUACGCACUACGGUGGAAAGCAGGGGAUCGCAAGACCUUGCGCUAAUAGAUGAGCCUAUGUCGGAUUAGCUUGUUGGAGGGUAAUGGCCUACCAAGGCGACGAUCCGUAGCUGGUCUGAGAGGACGACCAGCCACACUGGGACUGAGACACGGCCCAGGACUCCUACGGGAGGCAGCAGUGGGGAAUAUUGGACAAUGGGGGCAACCCUGAUCCAGCAAUGCCGCGUGUGUGAAGAA
rnacentral:rRNA from 1 species